GCAGUAAUAGCGGAGUACUCAGCAUGGAGAAUGAGUGGACCAGUCGCCAGAUUUCUCCACUGGAUAUGCUUGCCUCAGCAGCAAUAUCUCACCCUUACAUGGAAGAAGCAAAUGGACAGAGAACUAAAUGAACAAUUGAAAGUCUGAUUGUUUCAAAACAGAUGGCCGCAAGGUCGGCCUUCAAGAAGCAAGAACACAGAUGGACACUGCAGGAAAUCAACAUUGAAAACAUGGCACCAGUGAAUGAAGAACUUUAUAACGAUGACAAUCAUCUGCGACAAACAGGAUCAUGUUCUGCUGCAAUAGAUGAGCUACAGGCUGAGACAAGUCAAGUUAAAAAAAAUUCAACAUGAGGUACCCAGAAGAAGUGGAAAGGGGUGGAUGUAGGUAUACAGUGCGACCUACUGAAACCGCCACCAGAGCCUGAGAGCCCAGAUAUCAGUGAUGACGAUAUGCCUUCUGAUGAAGAGAGCCCUGAACCCAUUAAUGGAAGUGAUCCCGAUUACAUUCCUGAAGAAGGCAGUGAUUCGGAAGAUUAUAUCAUGGAAGAAGCUGCUACUGGAGAUGUUAAGACUGAGAGGGCAUUUCUUGUGUAUGAAUCAUCACUGCUACAAUUGUUCCACCAUUCCUCAGGAUGUCAGUCUGUGUGUAGUGUCUGUGGAGAGAGUCUUUGGUUCAGCCAUUACUGUCUAUCAGAGGUGCAUGGGAUGUGGGGUUGACAGGCGAUGGAACAGCCAACCAAAUGUAAAGGACACACCUGCUGGGAACCUGAUGAUUUCUUCGGCGCUGCUUUUUAGUGGCUGCAGUAUCAGCAAAGUUCUCCUGUUUUUUAGACAUUUAUGAGCAACGGAGGAAAGUGGUUGAAGACAUUAAGAUGAAGAGAGGAGGACUGAUCACUGCAUCGGGAGAUGCACGUUGUGACAGUCCAGGUCAUAGUGCCAAAUACGGAUCAUAUACUUUGUUGGAUAAUAGCAUUAACAAAGUUGUAAAGUUCCAAUUUAUCAUGGUUACAGAAGUAUCAAGCAGCAGUGCCAUGGAGAAAGAGGGGCUUGUUCAUGCUAUAAAAGCAGUGGAGGCAGAAGGGCUAAAAUUAUAAAGCCUUACUACCGACAGACAUGCAUCAAUACGGAAAUACCUCCGUGAAGAGUGCAAGGAUAUCAAGCACUCAUUAGAUGUGUGGCAUGCAGCUAAAGGCUUGGGCAAAAAGAUUGACCAGCUGGGAAAGCAGAAGGGAUGCAAAAAGGUCCUUGCAUGGAAGAAGUCGGUGGUCAAUCACGUGUAUUGGACAGCAAGCUCAACAUCCUAGGCAGAACUGGAAGUUCUGUCAGCGAAAUGGAAGUCAGUAGUGAACCACAUUCGAGAUAUCCAUCAUCAUGAUAAUGAAAUCUUCCCAGAUUACCUUCAUGAUGAUGGGGACACUGAUAAGUUUGUGGACAUCCUUACCAGCAAGCCCAUGCUGAAAGAUAUCGAGAUGCUAUCUAGUGGUCAGCAGACUUCAGCCCUAGAAUCGUAUCAUUCAGUUGUGAAUCAUUUUGCCCCAAAGAUACUUCAUUUUUCAUACAGUAGGAUGAAAGCUCGGCUGAUAUUAUCUGCGUUACAUUUUAAUGAGAACGCUGACAGACAGCAAGCUGUCACCAAGGGUGGCCAAGAGCAGUAUCAGACUGUCUUUCCUAAAUAUAAAAAAGGAGAGCACAUUGUUUAGAAGACCUUAGUACCAUGCACAUAUGUUUAUGUGGACCUGCUGAAGACAUUUGUGUUUGAAGCUACUGAGUGAGGUGAAAAGGCUGGACCAAAGGCAGACUGCCCUCCUCCCAUGUGCCAUCAGUACAGCAAGCUGGAAAAAGAAGAAGCAGUGCAACUCCACAGGAGCAGAUUCUGCAGUGUUACUCCAUAAGACCAGACAAGCAAUCCAUACACAUCCUGUUAUAGCAAUGACAAUAACCUACUUAUCAGGUGACAUUGGGCAUACCUAACAACCUGUGUUUUCUCUCUCUUUCUCCCCCCCACCCCUUCCCCUGUCUGUACCUCUCAGUUACAUGUCAAACCUGAGAUCAAGAUGCUGACCUCUUCUGCUCCUCGGACCUGCCUGAUCCAUCCUGAUGCCCUACGUCUUGUUGGAGUCUCAUCACAUCGUUCCUGUGGAGGACGGCCCCAUAUGGACAGUUGAAAGUCACACUUGGAUGAUGCUCUGGACACUUACAGUAAUGCUUUUAUGGCUGAGGACUGCAGUUGUCAUGAACAGUUUUGCACUCAAGUUUACAUCAAUGAAGAGUUAUAACAUCAAUGAAACUGACUUCAUGUUAAAACCAUUAAAAAUGUUAUCAUGUUGUCUGUUAUCACUCAAAUGAGGAUGGUUUCCCUUUUGAGUCUGGUUCCUCUCGAGAUUUCUUCCUCAUGUCGUCAGAGAGAGUUUUUCCUUGCCACCAUCUGUGCAGGCUUGCUCACUGGGGAUAGAUUAGGCUAGGGAUAAAAUUAGCUUAGCGACAAUGUCUAUUGUUAAAAGUGCUUUAAAACUAUAUUUGACUAGACAUUCGCUAUGGUUCCACUGUUAGUUUCACCAACUUGAAUCAACAAAUAAAUGAAAGGGUAGUCAAAAUUAAAGUCCACAUCACCACAUUGAUCACCGAAAACUGAACAUAUUUCCACUUUCUUGAACAUACAGUUAGGCCCAGAAAUAUUUGGACAGUGACAAUUUUCAUGAUUUGGGCUCUGCAUGCCACCACUUUGGAUUUGAAAUGAAACAGCUGAAAUGCAAUUGAACUGCAGACUUUCAGGUUUAAUUCAAGGGGUUGAACAAAAAUAUCCUAUGAAUUGCAACAAUUUUUCUACAAAGUCUCCUCAUUUCAGGGGCUCAAAAGUAAUUAGACAAAUUAACAUUUCCAUAAAUAAAUUGUUCAUUUUCAAUACUUUGUUGCGAAUCCUUUGCAGGCAAUUAGUUAAAUGGAAUAACUGAAUUUAUGGAAGCUCCUGAACAGGUGACUAAUUAAAAAAUUAAGCAGAUAUUAGUCCUGGUACCUGUGAUACUCCCCAGUGGGACUUGGAAAUGUUUCUCAAAUUUUCAAGACAGCACAUACAGGGAGAACAGGCCGAAUGUCCCAGCCAAGAAAUUUCCAGUUCCAGCGGCACAUCUGAUGAUAUGCAAUAUGUCUAUCUCCUGUUGAUGCAAAAAGAAAAAGUGUUUAAUGAAAGUUAUGAAGAUAGACUGAACAUGGACUUAGCAUAUACAUUGUUAUUUGAAAGGACUCAUUCUAUGUUUAUCCCUUUGGAUGUAUUAUUGUUGCAUCUCAAACACCAACUGUCACUGAAAAUAUUCUGCUAAA